CGCUGGCGGCGUGCCUAAUACAUGCAAGUCGAGCGAACGGACGAGAAGCUUGCUUCUCUGAUGUUAGCGGCGGACGGGUGAGUAACACGUGGAUAACCUACCUAUAAGACUGGGAUAACUUCGGGAAACCGGAGCUAAUACCGGAUAAUAUUUUGAACCGCAUGGUUCAAAAGUGAAAGACGGUCUUGCUGUCACUUAUAGAUGGAUCCGCGCUGCAUUAGCUAGUUGGUAAGGUAACGGCCUACCAAGGCAACGAUGCAUAGCCGACCUGAGAGGGUGAUCGGCCACACUGGAACUGAGACACGGUCCAGACUCCUACGGGAGGCAGCAGUAGGGAAUCUUCCGCAAUGGGCGAAAGCCUGACGGAGCAACGCCGCGUGAGUGAUGAAGGUCUUCGGAUCGUAAAACUCUGUUAUUAGGGAAGAACAUAUGUGUAAGUAACUGUGCACAUCUUGACGGUACCUAAUCAGAAAGCCACGGCUAACUACGUGCCAGCAGCCGCGGUAAUACGUAGGUGGCAAGCGUUAUCCGGAAUUAUUGGGCGUAAAGCGCGCGUAGGCGGUUUUUUAAGUCUGAUGUGAAAGCCCACGGCUCAACCGUGGAGGGUCAUUGGAAACUGGAAAACUUGAGUGCAGAAGAGGAAAGUGGAAUUCCAUGUGUAGCGGUGAAAUGCGCAGAGAUAUGGAGGAACACCAGUGGCGAAGGCGACUUUCUGGUCUGUAACUGACGCUGA
rnacentral:rRNA from 1 species